ACUCGCCACGCGCAAGUAGAUUGUAUUAUUUGUCAAGCCCUGCGCAAAUGCAUAUUUCAAUUUAUUCACCACAAAUUUACACUCAAGAUGUGCAGUCCACUGCAAAAGCUACAAUGAAGACAAAAGAUUCAGAAGAAACUAUCUUCUAUCACCGACACCUAACCUUAGCAGCUCUUUUUUGAGAAGAUGAUUCAAGAGUCUUCUGGUCAUGGUAUCCCAUGAAGGCCUGGCAGCUCCUCAUCAUAUCCACCCCUUCGAAAUUUCAGAGCAGUUUACAGUCUCCCCAUCCCCAGCUACUCUUGUGACAGAAAAACCUGGCAACGAAUAAUCAGGUAGUGUAAAUCUUCACAGCUCUAGUGAAAUCAUUGCUGCUACACAGAUUCAUGCCAUCUGUCCCUGUCUUGUGUAUUGAUUGAAGAUCCAGAAG